rnacentral:rRNA from 1 species
UACAGAGGGUGCAAGCGUUAAUCGGAAUUACUGGGCGUAAAGCGUGCGUAGUCGGUUAUCUAAGUCGGGUGUGAAAUCCCCCGGGCUCAACCUGGGAAUUGCAUUCGAUACUGGAUAGCUAGAGUUCGGCAGAGGGAAGCGGAAUUUCGGGUGUAGCGGUGAAAUGCGUAGAUAUCCAAGGAACAUCAGUGGCGAAAGCGCUUCCUGGACCAGAACUGACGAUCAGGCACGAAAGCGUGGGGGAGCAAACAGG